AUUGAACGCUGGCGGCAGGCCUAACACAUGCAAGUCGAGCGCGAAAGCAUUUCGGUGUGAGUAGAGCGGCGGACGGGUGAGUAACGCGUAGGAAUCUACCUAGUAGUGGGGGACAACUCGGGGAAACUCGAGCUAAUACCGCAUAAGCCAUACGGGGGAAAGCGGGGGACCUUCGGGCCUCGUGCUAUUAGAUGAGCCUGCGUUGGAUUAGCUAGUUGGUGGGGUAAAGGCCUACCAAGGCGACGAUCCAUAGCUGGUCUGAGAGGAUGAUCAGCCACACCGGGACUGAGACACGGCCCGGACUCCUACGGGAGGCAGCAGUGGGGAAUAUUGUGCAAUGGGCGAAAGCCUGACGCAGCCAUGCCGCGUGUGUGAAGAAGGCCUUCGGGUUGUAAAGCACUUUCAAUUGGGAGGAAAGGUUCACGGUUAAUAACCGUGAGCUGUGACGUUACCUUUAGAAGAAGCACCGGCUAACUCCGUGCCAGCAGCCGCGGUAAUACGGAGGGUGCGAGCGUUAAUCGGAAUUACUGGGCGUAAAGCGCGCGUAGGUGGUCUGUUAAGUCGGAUGUGAAAGCCCCGGGCUCAACCUGGGAAUUGCCUUCGAUACUGGCAGACUAGAGUGCGAGAGAGGGAGGUAGAAUUCCAUGUGUAGCGGUGAAAUGCGUAGAUAUGUGGAGGAAUACCAGUGGCGAAGGCGGCUCCUGGCUCGACACUGA
rnacentral:rRNA from 1 species